UGAGUAACACGUAUCCAACCUGCCGUCUACUCUUGGACAGCCUUCUGAAAGGAAGAUUAAUACAAGAUGGCAUCAUGAGUCCGCAUGUUCACAUGAUUAAAGGUAUUCCGGUAGACGAUGGGGAUGCGUUCCAUUAGAUAGUAGGCGGGGUAACGGCCCACCUAGUCUUCGAUGGAUAGGGGUUCAGAGAGGAAGGUCCCCCACAUUGGAACUGAGACACGGUCCAA
rnacentral:rRNA from 1 species